GGGUUGUGAGGUUAAGCGAACAAGCGUACACGGUGGAUGCCCUGGCAGUCAGAGGCGAUGAAGGACGUGCUAAUCUGCGAAAAGCGCCGGUAAGGUGAUAUGAACCGUUAUAACCGGCGAUGUCCGAAUGGGGAAACCCGGUGCACUUCGGUGCAUCAUCGUUAGCUGAAUACAUAGGCUAACGAAGCGAACCGGGGGAACUGAAACAUCUAAGUACCCCGAGGAAAAGAAAUCAACCGAGAUUCCCCCAGUAGCGGCGAGCGAACGGGGAACAGCCCAGAGCCUGAAUCAGCUUGUGUGUCAGUGGAACGGUCUGGAAAGGCCGGCGAUACAGGGUGACAGCCCCGUACACGAAGGCACACAGGCUGUGAGCUCGAUGAGUAGGGCGGGACACGUGAUAUCCUGUCUGAAGAUGGGGGGACCAUCCUCCAAGGCUAAAUACUCCUGACUGACCGAUAGUGAACCAGUACCGUGAGGGAAAGGCGAAAAGAACCCCGGCGAGGGGAGUGAAACAGAACCUGAAACCGUGUACGUACAAGCAGUGGGAGCCUUCGUAAGAGGGUGACUGCGUACCUUUUGUAUAAUGGGUCAGCGACUUAUAUUCUGUAGCAAGGUUAACCGUAUAGGGGAGCCGAAGGGAAACCGAGUCUUAACCGGGCGUUAAGUUGCAGGGUAUAGACCCGAAACCCGGUGAUCUAGCCAUGGGCAGGUUGAAGGUUGGGUAACACUAACUGGAGGACCGAACCGACUAAUGUUGAAAAAUUAGCGGAUGACCUGUGGCUGGGGGUGAAAGGCCAAUCAAACCGGGAGAUAGCUGGUUCUCCCCGAAAGCUAUUUAGGUAGCGCCUCGUGAACUCAUCUCCGGGGGUAGAGCACUGUUUCGGCUAGGGGGCCAUCCCGGCUUACCAACCCGAUGCAAACUGCGAAUACCGGAGAAUGUUAUCACGGGAGACACACGGCGGGUGCUAACGUCCGUCGUGAAGAGGGAAACAACCCAGACCGCCAGCUAAGGUCCCAAAGUCAUGGUUAAGUGGGAAACGAUGUGGGAAGGCCCAGACAGCCAGGAUGUUGGCUUAGAAGCAGCCAUCAUUUAAAGAAAGCGUAAUAGCUCACUGGUCGAGUCGGCCUGCGCGGAAGAUGUAACGGGGCUAAACCAUGCACCGAAGCUGCGGCAGCGACACUAUGUGUUGUUGGGUAGGGGAGCGUUCUGUAAGCCUGCGAAGGUGUGCUGUGAGGCAUGCUGGAGGUAUCAGAAGUGCGAAUGCUGACAUAAGUAACGAUAAAGCGGGUGAAAAGCCCGCUCGCCGGAAGACCAAGGGUUCCUGUCCAACGUUAAUCGGGGCAGGGUGAGUCGACCCCUAAGGCGAGGCCGAAAGGCGUAGUCGAUGGGAAACAGGUUAAUAUUCCUGUACUUGGUGUUACUGCGAAGGGGGGACGGAGAAGGCUAUGUCGGCCGGGCGACGGUUGUCCCGGUUUAAGCGUGUAGGCUGACUUUCCAGGCAAAUCCGGAAGGUUAAGGCUGAGGCGUGAUGACGAGGCACCACGGUGCUGAAGUGACAAAUGCCCUGCUUCCAGGAAAAGCCUCUAAGCAUCAGGUAACAUCAAAUCGUACCCCAAACCGACACAGGUGGUCAGGUAGAGAAUACCAAGGCGCUUGAGAGAACUCGGGUGAAGGAACUAGGCAAAAUGGUGCCGUAACUUCGGGAGAAGGCACGCUGACAUGUAGGUGAAGCCCCUGCGGGUGGAGCUGAAGUCAGUCGAAGAUACCAGCUGGCUGCAACUGUUUAUUAAAAACACAGCACUGUGCAAACACGAAAGUGGACGUAUACGGUGUGACGCCUGCCCGGUGCCGGAAGGUUAAUUGAUGGGGUUAUCGCAAGAGAAGCUCCUGAUCGAAGCCCCGGUAAACGGCGGCCGUAACUAUAACGGUCCUAAGGUAGCGAAAUUCCUUGUCGGGUAAGUUCCGACCUGCACGAAUGGCGUAAUGAUGGCCAGGCUGUCUCCACCCGAGACUCAGUGAAAUUGAACUCGCUGUGAAGAUGCAGUGUACCCGCGGCAAGACGGAAAGACCCCGUGAACCUUUACUACAGCUUGACACUGAACAUUGAGCCUUGAUGUGUAGGAUAGGUGGGAGGCUUUGAAGCGUGGACGCCAGUCUGCGUGGAGCCGACCUUGAAAUACCACCCUUUAAUGUUUGAUGUUCUAACCUGGCGCCAUAAUCUGGCGUGGGGACAGUGUCUGGUGGGUAGUUUGACUGGGGCGGUCUCCUCCCAAAGUGUAACGGAGGAGCACGAAGGUCAGCUAAUCCUGGUCGGACAUCAGGAGGUUAGUGCAAUGGCAUAAGCUGGCUUGACUGCGAGAGUGACGGCUCGAGCAGGUGCGAAAGCAGGUCAUAGUGAUCCGGUGGUUCUGUAUGGAAGGGCCAUCGCUCAACGGAUAAAAGGUACUCCGGGGAUAACAGGCUGAUACCGCCCAAGAGUUCAUAUCGACGGCGGUGUUUGGCACCUCGAUGUCGGCUCAUCACAUCCUGGGGCUGAAGUAGGUCCCAAGGGUAUGGCUGUUCGCCAUUUAAAGUGGUACGCGAGCUGGGUUUAGAACGUCGUGAGACAGUUCGGUCCCUAUCUGCCGUGGGCGCUGGAGAAUUGAGGGGGGCUGCUCCCAGUACGAGAGGACCGGAGUGGACGCAUCACUGGUGUUCGGGUUGUCAUGCCAAUGGCACUGCCCGGUAGCUAAAUGCGGAAGAGAUAAGUGCUGAAAGCAUCUAAGCACGAAACUUGCCCCGAGAUGAGUUCUCCCUGAGACUAUAAGUCUCCUGAAGGAACGUUGAAGACGACGACGUUGAUAGGCCGGGUGUGUAAGCGCAGCGAUGCGUUGAGCUAACCGGUACUAAUGAAC
rnacentral:rRNA from 1 species